rnacentral:lncRNA from 13 species
UUGUUGAUCAUUUCAAUUAGAGCAGGACUGACAUCUGAAUCCUAUAUAAAUACAUGAACACAGGGGGCUGAGACAGAAUCACUUGAACGAUUGCAGUGAGCAGAGAGCACACCACUGCACUCCAGCCUUGGUGACAGAGGGAAACCUGUCUCAAAAACCCACUAACCAGUUUUUGCAUUGUUCAGCCCUUCCUAAUGCAGCCACCACCAUCUCCCUUCCCCAGCACGUCCCUGUCUGUGUCUGUUGAAGCCCUAUGUGUAGGACUCAUCCUUCAACUGGAAGCUUCUACACACCUAACAAAGUCCCUCAUAAAGCCAAGUUCUCCUUGAAGGGGAGUUUUAGUUCUGUCUCAUUUGUCUCCUACAGGGUGACGAAUACUAAGUGGAAGCUGACUGAUUCAGGAACCAUUCAUUUUGUUUCUGAGUGACUAGCCAUUUAUUACGAACAUGUAGCUCCCCUUGAGCAACUUCUCCUUGAAGGUUAGGGUGUCACAGAACAUUUAGAAUUAGAAACUUAAUUUCUAGUCUAAUCUUUCAUAUAAACUGAGGCCCAAGGAACCUAGUGACUUGAAGGUUAGAUUGUAAAUGGUAUUGCAGAGCCUCAAAGACGUUCUCCUGGUUGUAGCCCAGAGCAAAGACACACACUUUAAGGCACAUUAAUGGAGUGGCCUACAAAUGCACAAGCUUGCAGAAGCACACAUGGGGUUGAGAAUUCUAUUUAUAAACAUCCAUUAUGAAGUCAUUACCUGAGAAUAUUCAUGCACAGGUCAACACCUACAGGAAGAUUUUGACCAGAGUUAGACUUACCUUCUGAUUGCAUGCUUUCCUAAGGGAUGCUAUUUGCAUGACAAUGGGGACUUGACUUCUAGUGUACCCAUCACAAGAUACUGAAUAUAGCACCCAGCAGGUCAGUUCCAUGAAGACUUCGAUAGCUGUCUGCAGGUGCUGUCAGGAUGCCUGGCCUUGAACUUGCUUGCACAAUUUACUUAUCACCUGAGAACAAGCUUCUCCACAACUGCAACUACCUUCAACAACCCAAGGGUGCAGAGAAACUAAUGUCCAUGGGACCACCUUGGAGCAAUAAUCAGAGCAUGAAUCUUCCUCCCUUUUAUUCUCUAGGUGAUGAUUAUUAACGGAUGUUCUGUAUUUUCUCAACACAAAAAUAUACCAGGUAGGCAGCUGGUGCCCACCCACCAUUGAUCACAGACAAAAUAAAAUGCAUUCUCUAGGAGGGACCCA